rnacentral:rRNA from 1 species
GAGUUUGAUCUUGGCUCAGAUUGAACGCUGGCGGCAUGCCUUACACAUGCAAGUCGAACGGCAGCACGGGAGCUUGCUCCUGGUGGCGAGUGGCGAACGGGUGAGUAAUGCAUCGGAACGUAUCCUGGAGUGGGGGAUAACGUAGCGAAAGUUACGCUAAUACCGCAUAUUCUGUGAGCAGGAAAGCGGGGGACCUUCGGGCCUCGCGCUCUUGGAGCGGCCGAUGUCGGAUUAGCUAGUUGGUGAGGUAAAGGCUCACCAAGGCGACGAUCCGUAGCAGGUCUGAGAGGAUGAUCUGCCACACUGGAACUGAGACACGGUCCAGACUCCUAUGGGAGGCAGCAGUGGGGAAUUUUGGACAAUGGGGGCAACCCUGAUCCAGCCAUGCCGCGUGAGUG